CAAAGCCGCCAGCGAACGAGGAAGCAGAUUUGUUGCAGGUGGGAAAGAACAGAUGUACGAGAGUAGAGCAGAUGGAUCAGUGCGUAGUCCAGCUGUCAUCGGAGAGACAUUGUCCAGCGACUGAUAAAUACAAGGUGGAGCCAGGGGAACCUCGCAGAAGAGGGAGAAGAGUGAUUCUAGGACCCAGAGGGGUAAAGGACACCAUGAGAACACAACCCACAGGACCAUUUAAGCAGGGCUCAUAGGGCCUCCCAGGGACUGAGGUCGCUCCCUUUGGAUGCAUCAUACUGAAGAAUCCUACGGCCUGCCGAGACCUCUGAGGGGUCUGUUGCAGCAUCCGUCUCCCUUCCAGCAGUGCCGUCAUCGUCAUAUUGCAUGUGACAUCAGAGACAGACUCCCAUGCGUGCUUCUGUAGGCCACUAUUCCCAUAGUCCCCAUCUCCUUACAAUUAUAGAUCAAGUCAUUUUCUUUAUAAAUCUCCCUUGAACUCUGCUCACCAAUGGAAGCAUUAAUUCUCAUAGCAGAAAAAGUUUAUAUUUGAAACUACCUACGUCUCCUGUAUCAAUUGACUUUUGUCUUCUCUAAUAGAAAAGUUAUAAAGUGUUUUGUCUUUGCUAAUAAAGUUUUCAAUUUUUAUGAAUUAUGACAAUUUGA